GUCCAUCAGCAGUGGGUCAGUGCAUCUGGCUGUUAACCAGAAGGCUGGUGGUUCGAGUCUACCCAAGGACA